UAAUAUUAAUUUCUGUAAAUUCAUUCAAUAUUCAACAAAUAUUCAAUACAUAAACAACAUUCAACAUUCAAGAAAAGUAACAUUUAACAAAAUUAACAUUCAACAAAACUAACAUUCAAGAAAACUAACAUUCGACAAAAAUAACAUGAAAGACCUAUUUCGAUGGAGGAGUUUGAUAUCUUUGAUCGCUCUGACCUGCAUUAAUACUUCUAUUUUGCAACGAUCCACGAUCUGAAGGUUGUGGAGUUGUAUUUGAUUGAGAUAAAACUGUUUUCUUCAGGUCUUCAAACAUAUCAAACAUUUCAUCAUAUUUC
rnacentral:lncRNA from 1 species